rnacentral:rRNA from 1 species
UACGUAGGGGGCAAGCGUUGUCCGGAAUCAUUGGGCGUAAAGAGCGUGUAGGCGGCCCGAUAAGUCCGCUGUGAAAGUUCAGGGCUCAACCCUGGAAUGCCGGUGGAUACUGUCGGGCUCGAAUCCGGAAGAGGUGAGUGGAAUUCCUGGUGUAGCGGUGAAAUGCGCAGAUAUCAGGAGGAACACCAAUGGCGAAGGCAGCUCACUGGGACGGUAUUGACGCUGAGACGCGAAAGCGUGGGGAGCAAACAGG